UGAUGGACACACAGAUAGAUGCGUCUGGAUUUAUGACGGAGCAGCUGACCAGCACCGGCUUGCUAGUGAGGACACAUUCAGUUUAACAGAAGCUGCUGGUAUCCGAAGCCGGAAGUCACAGAAGUCAUUGAUGCCAUUAACAAUCUUCCUGCAGGAGGUGCACUGUGCCCGGGCCGUGCCCAGACAGCUGAGGUUCCAGGUGCGGGCUCCAGGAGCACGCUGAGCCCGUCUCCACGGACAAGCUGGAGGCCAAGACCCCCUUCCCUCGUCGUCACGGGAGGCCACCACACUCGGCCUGGUCAGCUACUCCAGCAACCAAGGGGCUUGUUCACCAGAGAGCGUGAAACAAAGGAAGGUCAGACAAAGGAGCCGAGGGUUAUGAAAGGAGCUGCUGCGUUCCAGAACUCUCCACGAUUCCCAUCAGGCUGCGUCAAUCGGGCCCUCUACCUGGAAGGAGAGCUAGGCUUUCGCUGUCCAAUCCCCCUGAAAGGACCACACUGGCUGCAGUCUGAAAUCCCUCUUCUCACCCACUGACAGUGCUACCCAAACCUGUGCCUUAUCAAAGACAAGGUCUAUUAAAGAAAUGAUGAUGAGAAUUGAGAAUACCAAAUCUUGUGUAUUUAUGGUUGGAGAGAGAGAGAGAGAGAGAGAGAGAGAGAGAGAGAGAGAGAGAGAAAGGGAGAGAAAGACUCCUUUAUUUUACAAUGUUUAAUAUUUCCAGUUUUU
ensembl:lincRNA